rnacentral:lncRNA from 1 species
AGCCACCACCACCAUCCAUCUCCAGAACUUUCUCAUCUCCCCAAAUCAAAGCUCUGUCCCCAUGAAACUCUCAUUCCCCAUUCUUCCUUUCCCCAGCCGCUGGUCUCGAACUUCUGACCUCAAGUGAUCCACCCUCCUUGGCCUCCCAAAGUGCUGGGAUUACAGGCAUGAACCACCGCUCCCGGCCCUUGUCUUUUAUAUUUGAUAGAUUCCAGAUCCAAAAGACAAGUUCCUUGAGGAAUUCAACCACUAUUUUAUUCCAUCUGUUGAAAAUACAGCUUUAAUUUACAGCUCAUGAUUGCCAUUGUUGUUAUUUUUUUAACAAA